rnacentral:rRNA from 1 species
GUCGUGGGGCAGCGCGGGUAGCAAUACCUGGCGGCGACCGGCAAACGGGUGCGGAACACGUACGCAACCUUCCUUUAAGCGGGGAAUAGCCCAGGGAAACUUGGAUUAAUACCCCAUAAGAUUAUGGUGUGGCAUCACACAGUAAUUAAAGCUCCGGCACUUAAAGAUGGGCGUGCGGCUGAUUAGGUAGUUGGCGGGGUAACGGCCCACCAAGCCUACGAUCAGUAACUGGUGUGAGAGCACGACCGGUCACACGGGCACUGAGACACGGGCCCGACUCCUACGGGAGGCAGCAGUAAGGAAUAUUGGUCAAUGGACGAAAGUCUGAACCAGCCAUGCCGCGUGGAGGAUGAAGGCCCUCUGGGUUGUAAACUUCUUUUAUUUGGGAAGAAACCCAUCUUUUCUAAGGUGGUUGACGGUACCAGAUGAAUAAGCACCGGCUAACUCCGUGCCAGCAGCCGCGGUAAUACGGAGGGUGCAAGCGUUAUCCGGAUUCACUGGGUUUAAAGGGUGCGUAGGUGGGCAGGUAAGUCAGUGGUGAAAUCUCUGGGCUUAACCCAGAAACUGCCGUUGAUACUAUCUGUCUUGAAUGUAGUGGAGGUGAGCGGAAUAUGUCAUGUAGCGGUGAAAUGCUUAGAUAUGACAUAGAACACCCAUUGCGAAGGCAGCUCGCUACACUAUUAUUGACACUGAGGCACGAAAGCGUGGGGAUCAAACAGGAUUAGAUACCCUGGUAGUCCACGCCCUAAACGAUGGAUACUCGACAUCGCGAUACACUGUUGGUGUCUGAG